rnacentral:rRNA from 1 species
GACGAACGCUGGCGGCGUGCUUAACACAUGCAAGUCGAACGGAAAGGCCCUGCUUUUGUGGGGUGCUCGAGUGGCGAACGGGUGAGUAACACGUGAGUAACCUGCCCUUGACUUUGGGAUAACUUCAGGAAACUGGGGCUAAUACCGGAUAGGAGCUCCUGCUGCAUGGUGGGGGUUGGAAAGUUUCGGCGGUUGGGGAUGGACUCGCGGCUUAUCAGCUUGUUGGUGGGGUAGUGGCUCACCAAGGCUUUGACGGGUAGCCGGCCUGAGAGGGUGACCGGCCACAUUGGGACUGAGAUACGGCCCAGACUCCUACGGGAGGCAGCAGUGGGGAAUAUUGCACAAUGGGCGGAAGCCUGAUGCAGCAACGCCGCGUGCGGGAUGACGGCCUUCGGGUUGUAAACCACUUUCGCCUGUGACGAAGCGUGAGUGACGGUAAUGGGUAAAGAAGCACCGGCUAACUACGUG